rnacentral:siRNA from 1 species
AUGCAGCUGUUUGAGUGAUGCCC